AGGGUACUGAUUGCUUAUUGCACCACAUGUGUUUUUCUUUGAAACAAACUUGCUUUGGCGGUGGGCCCAGCCUGCCGCCAGAGGUCUAAACUUACAACCAAUUUUUUAUCAACUUGUCACACCAGAUUAUUACUUAAUAGUCAAAACUUUCAACAACGGAUCUCUUGGUUCUCGCAUCGAUGAAGAACGCAGCGAAAUGCGAUACGUAAUAUGAAUUGCAGAUAUUCGUGAAUCAUCGAAUCUUUGAACGCACAUUGCGCCCUCUGGUAUUCCGGAGGGCAUGCCUGUUUGAGCGUCGUUUCUCCCUCAAACCGCUGGGUUUGGUGUUGAGCAAUACGACUUGGGUUUGCUUGAAAGACGGUAGUGGUAAGGCGGGAUCGCUUUGACAAUGGCUUAGGUCUAACCAAAAACAUUGCUUGCGGCGGUAACGUCCACCACGUAUAUCUUCAAACUUUGACCUCAAAUCAGGUAGGACUACCCGCUGAACUUAAGCAUAUCAAAAGCGGGGAGGAA
rnacentral:rRNA from 1 species